CAUAAUGAAAGUGUAACUCUCUGCCUUCAUAUCCCCAUGUGCAUGCAUUCACCCAUAUAUCCAUCCAUCCAUCCACCUACCCACCUACCGACUCUUUCACCAGUGUUGGUUUACUGUUGGCCCAAGCCUACUGUCUACACUUACAGUGAGUUAUUUCCCAGGAGGCUUCUGGGAUGCAAAUAGACUCCUUGCAGACAACAUAACCCAUCCAUCCAACAUUUCCAAAUGUUUCUGAAUUCAGUAGAGAACACAGCCUAAUGCUGAAACUAGGAUCUUUAACAUCUGUCUGUAUGUCUUUCAGACGUUUGUAGGUGCCAGUUAAGAAUUCUCACCACUUUGAAAAAUGGUGGGAAUGGAAAUACUAUACGGGCUGCAUUUGAGAACCAGACUGCAAAGACAGAUCUGCUCUGCUACCUUUGUCUUCAGCUCCGAUCUACCUGGCAGCAAAGCUCAGGACUUUUUUUUUUUCCAGCUGCACCAAGCCAUACGUGGACCCUUAGUUCCUCAACCAGGAACUGAACCCACACCCUCUGCACUAGAAGCUCAGAGUCUUAACCACUGGACCACCAAGGAAGUCCUGCCCAGCACUUUUUGAGUUUCCGUAGAGUUAAGGGUCCAUUGUGGCUGAGGAGGAAAGCACAGUUCUAUACAGAAGGUAGAAGGUAGGACUGUCGCUCUCUCUGCCUAUGCGUAACCGGAAACGUAUUGUUUGACUUUCUAUAACUAAAAGUAACAGUCUCACUUCUUUAGGGCUUUCCUAUUAGUCAGAAGCAUACAAGACAGAGCAGACCUGGAUGUAAUUCCACCAUCACUAGCUUUGUAGCUUUGCCAAGUCAAUUCACUCAGUUUGCCCAUCUGUAAAUUGGAAACAAUGAUAUUCAUCUCCCAGAGUUUUUGUGAGAAGGAAAUGAGAUUGUGGAUUAUAAAGGGCUGGGCCUUUUGACUGGAUUAAGAAAUGCCUAGAAAAGCAAAUUUCCUUUGUUCCUACUUUUUAUGCCAGCUCCAUGUUACUGUUCACAGCUUUUUCACACUCAGUAAGGAAGACACUAGGAGAAGGCAAUGGCACCCCACUCCAGUACUCUUACCUGGAAAAUCCCAUGGACAGAGGAGCCUGGUAGGCUGCAGUCCAUGGGGUCACUAGGAGUCGGACACAACUAAGCGACUUUACUUUCACUUUUCACUUUCAUGCAUUGGAGAAGGAAAUGGCAACCCACUCCAGUACUCUUGCCUGGAGAAUCCCAGGGACGGGGGAACCUGUGGGCUGCCAACUAUGGGGUCGCACAGAGUCGGAC
rnacentral:lncRNA from 1 species